rnacentral:rRNA from 1 species
GAGGGAAAGUUGAAAAGAACUUUGAAGAGAGAGUUCAAGAGUACGUGAAACCGUUUAGAGGUAAACGGAUGGGACCGCAAGGCUCCCCGCGGGAUUCAACCCCGCGUUCGUCGUUCGGCUGCGUUUCUCGAUCCGAUUGCGGACGGGAGCGGAAGUUGGUUUCGGCGGCGCGGGGCGCAAUUUCCGCGGGACACUCGCCAGGACAGGUUCGCGUGGUGGCCGGAAGCCGCUAGGACAAGGUAGCCGUCCCUUCGUGGACGGUGGUUAGGAUCAUGCGGUGGGUUGCACCCGCGGACCGAGGAACACCCGCCGUGGCACGGGCCCCUCACCCUCUCUACCGAGACGACUUGCGUGGACUGUUCGGCAGUGCUCGCAGACGGCCGGUCGUGUAGCGGUGGGCGAUCUCCCGUGCUGACAUCCAGGGUCUCUGGCUAAUCGGUCGGCACCCCAUCCGACCCGUCUUGAAACACGGACCAAGGAGUCUAACAUGUGCGCGAGUCACGGGGCGGCAAACCCUAGGGCGCAAUGAAAGUGAAGUCGUUUUGUUAGGAUCAGGUAGGAUCCCCGUCCUUGGCGGCGGGGCGCACUACCGGCCCGUCUCGAUCCCUCGUGGGCGAGGCGGAGCAGGAGCGUACACGUUGGGACCCGAAA